rnacentral:rRNA from 1 species
GUAGGUGGCAAGCGUUGUCCGGAAUUAUUGGGCGUAAAGCGCGCGCAGGCGGUUCUUUAAGUCUGAUGUGAAAGCCCACGGCUCAACCGUGGAGGGUCAUUGGAAACUGGAGAACUUGAGUACAGAAGAGGAAAGCGGAAUUCCACGUGUAGCGGUGAAAUGCGUAGAGAUGCGGAGGAACACCAGUGGCGAAGGCGGCUUUCUGGUCUGUAACUGACGCUGAGGCGCGAAAGCGUGGGGAGCAAACAGGGAUUAGAUACCCUGGUAGUCCACGCCGUAAACGAUGAGUGCUAAGUGUUAGGGGGGUUUCCGCCCCCUUAGUGCUGCAGCUAACGCAUUAAGCACUCCGCCUGGGGAGUACGGCCGCAAGGCUG